CAGUUUCACCAAAAGACAUUUUUAUAAGUCUUACCUACUGCACCUUUUAGGCUGGGAAUGACUACAUGAAUGAAAGCCCAGUUUGGCAAUGAAGACUUUGAGGUUCUUUCUAAAAAUGAAAGAGUGGCUGGUUAAAAUGGGACACCAUGAACCGCUGACAUGUUAGGGCUGGGUACCGUUUGAAAUGUUAGAAUGUGAAAUUCUACACUGAGCCAAUAUCUGAGUUUUGAUA